GGGUGGUUGGGCAUAGUUACUGCUGGCAACCUCUCCACAUCCACCCAACCCCCACCCCCAGGCACCGGCAGCCAUGUGGUCGGAAGGGGCCUGUGGCGCAAUGGCCCGGAAGGCAGUGACACCAUGUUCCGUUCCUAAGAACCGUUCAGCCCCUUGGGGAAGACGCUGCCGGGGACAGCUGGGGGGCUGGCCACCCAGGCACCGAGACCAUAGGGCGCUCCUCGCUACCUCCCCAGUGGUGAAUACUACUUCAAGAGAACGGGGAACGUAACUCGGUGAAUAACACGUGCCAAUGCCCGGCCCCUCGCUAGUCCUCCAGAAAUACCCGCCAGCCAGCCAGUCACCCGGACAGACAAAGGCGCGCAUCUCUUUAUGUCAUAGGCUGGCUUUGAGGACGAUUGGGAAAGAAAAUAUUACAUAAACCCUGGGGUGAGCAAGGAUCUACCAGCGCCCUCGCCACCAGGCCAGUGAGGUCAUCCUGAGCUGAAGGAUUCUUCGGUUGAGAACUGCCAAAGUUCUUCUGGGACCUGGUGUGUCCAUAGUGUGGGAAGCCAUGUCCCCCAUGUGCCCAGUGCCUCCCCCAAAUUGGAUUUCAACACUUCCCUGGAAAACAAGCUGAAAAAGAAAAACAUAAGGCAUUUCUCCUACUUCCUUUAAAGAAUUCACUUCAGAAUGAAUUCCAUAAGCAGCACCUGACAGCCUGAUAGAAAGAGACCAGUCUUCACUGGAGGGGCUAAUCCUGCCUUUUGCCAAGACAGAUGAAGGAUGGUGGCUUUUUAGGCCCUUUUUCAACCUGUAUUUAAGUAAUUAAUUAUAUGUGUCAGGCACCAGGCUAUGCAUGGGGUGUAAAUCAGCAAGACUAGGCUUCCAGGUAAGUGAAUUUGUUGUGAAUGCCUUUUUAUAUCCAGGUCUUGAAGGGUGAAUAAACAUCCAGCAUGUGAUCUGGAAACCCACCAUUUGUCAGCCUACUCAUUUCUUACUCUAGGCUUAGGAGGGAGCGCCCAACACAGCCUGAUCCUGGUGGUACCCUGGAGUCUAGCACUGCACCUGCAUCCCAAGCAGAACCAGUCAGAAUCCUUCCCCAAGACUGACGUCAGACUCAGGAGACAGGCCUCCCUUACAUGGCCAAGCCUUUGGAGCUGGGACGUCACAGGUCUAGCGCUGUGAAAAGCCACUUUCCCCAGCUCCAUGGGGUGGGGUGCGGUCUGAUAAAGUGGGUGAGAAUAUGGCCGGUCUAGCUGGAGAGGCCAAGCAACUUCCCUGAACCCUGGUCUCUGCCUGAAGCCAGGACCAGCCCCACACUUGUCCCAGCUACACAGGACAAUGAUGUCAGUCUAUUUUCUGCUAGUUGAGCUGGUUUCCUGGCACUUGCACGGGGAGUCCUUUGUCCUGCAUGUCCUGUAUGAGGAUGAAAGCAGGAGGGGUGGAGGAGAUGGAGAGAGGAAGUGGGAUGGGCUUGGAGACUUCUCUUGCUGCCAACUGCUGCAAAAGCUCAAAAACUCUGCUCAACAGAGAGAGCAACUGGAGAAAGAUGGAGGGGACCAGCCAGGAUCCCCAAGGGGCUGUCCGCAAAUGAUAGCCCUGGUCCCAAGGGGAAGUCCAGGACACAGAGGUGGGACUCAUUGGCAGGGAUGCCUGGAGGAAAUGACCUGGGACAGGUGUUGUGGAAGACCUGUCUUCUUCCCCUUCUUAUUCUUGGAGAGCUGCCAAGGAAACUCUGGGUGUUUAUCUUGAUAAGAAAAAAAGAAACAGGGGCACCUGGGUGGCUCAGUCAGUUAAGUGUCUGCCUUUGGCUCAGGUAAUG